rnacentral:lncRNA from 1 species
GCAGAGGUCAGAGGUGUAGGAUUUCUCUUGGAACUUGAGUUAUAGGUGGUUAUGAGCUACCUGCUGCAGAUUCUGGGAAUUGAACUCAGGUCCUCUAGAAGAACCAUUCCUUUGCUUUUGUUUUUUUUGUUUUGUGAGACAGUCUCAGUGUGUAUCCCUGGCAGACCUUGAAUUCAGAGAUCUACCUGCCUCUUCCUCCCAAAGUGCUUGGACUAAUGGCAUGAACCUCUGAAGAUCUCUUUAAGAGUUAAUCUUGACACUCUCAUGGAUCCUAGAAAUUCUAGAGAAAAAUGUCAUAUCAACCAUAUACCAACCCCAAGAGGAGACACUGAUACAAAAUGAAGCGUUUUCAGAGGACUGUCAAAAAUUUUGUUGUUUGUUUGUUUAAAAAUUUGUUAUUUACAAUACAGGGUUUCCCUGUGUACACAGAACACCCUCUGUUGACUAGGCUGGAUUCACCUACCUCUGCCUCCUGAGUGCUGGAAUUAAAGAUGUUUUUCCUGCACAUGUGUCUGUGUACCAUCUGUUUUCAGUACCCAGGUACAGAACUGGGUAUGGAGUGGCUUGAUUCCUGGUGAUCUCAAACUCCGAGAUCAUUCAGAAGAGGGCAUUGGGUCCCUUGGAGCUGGCGAUACAUAUGGUUGUGAGCUGCCAUGUCAGUGCUGGGAGCUGAACCUAGGUCAUCUGCAAAAGCAGUCAGGGAUUUUUAAGCAUUGAGGCACCUCUCCAGCCUCUUCUUUUAUUUAUUUUCUAAAAAAAAGAGUACAAACUCAGUCCUCUAUUACCACAAAUUAUGCAACUGAGUUUCCUGCAUCUGGAGAAAUUGCAGGGAUUAGCAUAUCCUGAAUAUAAUGAAUGAGCUCCAUCCUGGGAAAACUACAUUUCUGAUCACUGUAUCAAGCUCUUGGUGCCCAGAGCUAACCCUAUGCCACAGUGCUCCAUACCCAAAUACUGCGGGGAGAGAGCUGGUCUUCCAGGAGUGCUGAUGUGCCUGUGAGCACAGGUAAGAGCACCUCGUCAGCUUAGAGGAACCCGCCCAGAACCUUCAGGACACAGGAACCAAGGAACAGCAGGGGACAGGAUCCUUCCAGAUACUGUCUGUACGCUGGAGCUGACCCUGUGCCACAGCUCUCCACAUCCAAAUUCCUCCCAGAGAGAACUGGUCUCCCAGGAGUACUGACACAAAUGCUUGCAGGAGGGAAACUCCAGUCAGAGACAGCAAGACCAGCUAACACUGGAUUUAACCAGAUGGUGAGAACAUAAGCAAUAGAAACCAAGGCUACUUGGCAUCAUCAGAACUCAGCUCUCCCACCACAGCAAGCCCUGAAUACCCCAACACACCAGAAAAGCAAGAAUCUGAUUUAAAACCAUAUCUCAUGAUGAUGAUAGAGGACUUUAAG